rnacentral:rRNA from 1 species
CGUACACGGUGGAUGCCCUGGCAGUCAGAGGCGAUGAAGGACGUGCUAAUCUGCGAUAAGCGUCGGUAAGGUGAUAUGAACCGUUAUAACCGGCGAUUUCCGAAUGGGGAAACCCAGUGUGAUUCGUCACACUAUCAUUAACUGAAUCCAUAGGUUAAUGAGGCGAACCGGGGGAACUGAAACAUCUAAGUACCCCGAGGAAAAGAAAUCAACCGAGAUUCCCCCAGUAGCGGCGAGCGAACGGGGAGCAGCCCAGAGCCUGAAUCAGUGUGUGUGUUAGUGGAAGCGUCUGGAAAGGCGUGCGAUACAGGGUGACAGCCCCGUACACAAAAAUGCACAUACUGUGAGCUCGAUGAGUAGGGCGGGACACGUGGUAUCCUGUCUGAAUAUGGGGGGACCAUCCUCCAAGGCUAAAUACUCCUGACUGACCGAUAGUGAACCAGUACCGUGAGGGAAAGGCGAAAAGAACCCCGGCGAGGGGAGUGAAAAAGAACCUGAAACCGUGUACGUACAAGCAGUGGGAGCACGCUUAGGCGUGUGACUGCGUACCUUUUGUAUAAUGGGUCAGCGACUUAUAUUCUGUAGCAAGGUUAACCGAAUAGGGGAGCCGAAGGGAAACCGAGUCUUAACUGGGCGUUAAGUUGCAGGGUAUAGACCCGAAACCCGGUGAUCUAGCCAUGGGCAGGUUGAAGGUUGGGUAACACUAACUGGAGGACCGAACCGACUAAUGUUGAAAAAUUAGCGGAUGACUUGUGGCUGGGGGUGAAAGGCCAAUCAAACCGGGAGAUAGCUGGUUCUCCCCGAAAGCUAUUUAGGUAGCGCCUCGUGAAUUCAUCUCCGGGGGUAGAGCACUGUUUCGGCAAGGGGGUCAUCCCGACUUACCAACCCGAUGCAAACUGCGAAUACCGGAGAAUGUUAUCACGGGAGACACACGGCGGGUGCUAACGUCCGUCGUGAAGAGGGAAACAACCCAGACCGCCAGCUAAGGUCCCAAAGUCAUGGUUAAGUGGGAAACGAUGUGGGAAGGCCCAGACAGCCAGGAUGUUGGCUUAGAAGCAGCCAUCAUUUAAAGAAAGCGUAAUAGCUCACUGGUCGAGUCGGCCUGCGCGGAAGAUGUAACGGGGCUAAACCAUGCACCGAAGCUGCGGCAGCGACGCUUAUGCGUUGUUGGGUAGGGGAGCGUUCUGUAAGCCUGUGAAGGUGUGCUGUGAGGUAUGCUGGAGGUAUCAGAAGUGCGAAUGCUGACAUAAGUAACGAUAAAGCGGGUGAAAAGCCCGCUCGCCGGAAGACCAAGGGUUCCUGUCCAACGUUAAUCGGGGCAGGGUGAGUCGACCCCUAAGGCGAGGCCGAAAGGCGUAGUCGAUGGGAAACAGGUUAAUAUUCCUGUACUUGGUGUUACUGCGAAGGGGGGACGGAGAAGGCUAUGUUGGCCGGGCGACGGUUGUCCCGGUUUAAGCGUGUAGGCUGGUUUUCCAGGCAAAUCCGGAAAAUCAAGGCCGAGGCGUGAUGACGAGGCACUACGGUGCUGAAGCAACAAAUGCCCUGCUUCCAGGAAAAGCCUCUAAGCAUCAGGUAACAUCAAAUCGUACCCCAAACCGACACAGGUGGUCAGGUAGAGAAUACCAAGGCGCUUGAGAGAACUCGGGUGAAGGAACUAGGCAAAAUGGUGCCGUAACUUCGGGAGAAGGCACGCUGAUACGUAGGUGAAGCGACUUGCUCGUGGAGCUGAAAUCAGUCGAAGAUACCAGCUGGCUGCAACUGUUUAUUAAAAACACAGCACUGUGCAAACACGAAAGUGGACGUAUACGGUGUGACGCCUGCCCGGUGCCGGAAGGUUAAUUGAUGGGGUUAGCGCAAGCGAAGCUCUUGAUCGAAGCCCCGGUAAACGGCGGCCGUAACUA